AGAAUCAUGAACUUGAUCUGGACCUGUGUAGGUUUAAUAGUUCGAUUUCUUUUUAGGAGGUACUUGAAAUGCAAGUAGGUAAAGUAAAAUGGUUUAACGGUGAAAAAGGAUACGGAUUUAUCCAAGGAGAAGACGGCAGCGACGUAUUCGUUCACUUCUCUGCUAUCCAAGGUGAAGGCUUCAAAACUUUAGAAGAAGGUCAAGAAGUUUCUUUCGAAGUUACUGAAGGCGAUCGCGGACCUCAAGCAGCUAACGUUACUAAAAAGUAAUGAAAACGCCAAAAAAGCAUUCCGAUUUCGGAAUGCUUUUUAU
rnacentral:other from 1 species